rnacentral:lncRNA from 1 species
GAAUAAUCUUAAUAUGUUAAAGUUAAUAUUAAAAAAUAAACAUAAAAUUAGAAUGCACUUAUCUUCCAAGGAAUGGAAGAAAAAGCGGGAGGGGUAACUUCAAAUGGCAACUAUCACAGUGGCCACAUCUGGGCCACAGGGCCCCAGCCAGGAAAUGCACAGUGACACCUUAACAAUGCUUCCCAGUAUCACCAAAGGGCUCACAGGCCCUCGGCACCAAGUCCACUGUGUCUAGGGAGCAAAUGGAUGCUGACUUCAUUCCAUGUCACCCCCAAAAUGCCAAGCUGCUCAGGGAACUGACGGGGUCUGAAGGGGCCACGCAGAACCCCCAGAAGUGGCAGGAAGAGGAUGGGCCAGUUUCUGACCAUCACCGAAGGCAGGCUGCCACAGCAGGAGACACUGGGAAUGCAGGAAAAAGCAGGUGAGGAGGAAGUUCAUGGGGAAGCCCUUGACCACAGAGGGUGUCAGGUGAUAGGAGGCCUUGGAGCCAGCCGUGGAGAAAAGGCUAGCGAAAGCCACAGGUUUCAAAGACUUGGAAAAAAAUCUGGGGCAACUCUGAAGGCAAGGGCUCAAAUGAGGAAGGCGCAGUCGCCAGAAAGGAAGGGAGGAGCACGGAGGCCAGGGCAUGCAGG